GCUGGGCACUGUGGUGCAUGCCUGUAAUCCCAGGGGCUCAGGAGGCUGAGGCAGGAGGAUUGCAAGUUCAAAGCCAGUCUGAGCAAAAGUGAGGUGCUAAGCAAUUCAGUGAUACCCUGUCUCUC
rnacentral:sRNA from 1 species